UUUGCGGAGGAAUUUAAGAGGUGCUUCGGACCGAAUAUUAAUUAAUGAUUAAUUGAUUAAACAGCAUUCCACAAUCCAUAUUUCACAUAUUUUAAAAUGCAUUUUUGUACAAAAAUAUUUUUUGUGUGUUCUUUUUGUUUGGUUUUUUCUCUUUGCUUCGGUUUAUUAUUCGUAAUACCCAUGUCAGAAGAAUACAGGUGCAAUCUCUUGCAACUCUUCUUCUUCUCAUUCAUCGACAUUCAAUCAGAUGUUUUCUAUUGUUUAUUUAUUUCUUUCUGUGAUUUUAAUUUGAAAAUAUUUUUUUUGGAAUUAGCAAGACUAAUGGUUUUUGGAGAACAACUUUACAAAAUGUGAAAAAAGUAAAUAUUAAUAUGUAAUAAGAAAAUAAAAGACUAUUUCCAGCAUUUUUAGACAAAUGCCAUUAGCAACAGGUUUAAAAGAUUCCACGGAACACAUCAUAUCUAUCUUCCUUUUAUUACUCAUAUUUUUAUUUUAUUGUCAAUUUCCUUUUUAUUAUACAAAUUAUAAAACUUGUGAAAUUGGUGGUGGUUCCUUUCCUUUAAUUCUUUUAAUGGGGGACAAAUUGGUUUGUUUUGACAAAUCAGCUGAUUAGUUGCAAGCUUCUGCAGGAAUACCGUCUGUUUACUUUCUGCAAUUUCCUUGCAAAAGAGAAUUAAACCUCCUUUCUCUCUCAGAAAGAUGUUGCUGGACAAUUCCUGCAGGAAAAGUAACCUAUUGUUUGAUUUUCACAGAUGAAUAAUUUUUGUUUGACGAAAAAAGUGAUUUGGCAACACUUUGUUAACACUUGCCUUUGUCAAUUGAGAAACCGUUAACAUUUGCUAAUUUUUUUGAAUGAAAAAAUUAAAAAUGUAAAUUUAAUUUUGUUUUUGUCAUUAAGACAACAUUUUUAUUACUUAAAAGUAUUUUGAGAGUGUUUAAAAGUCACAAAUUUCCAUAAAAAUUCAAUUUCACUUGCAAAAACAAAAGUGGUUUCAAGUCGGAAAAAUGUUGCGAUUUACAUUUUCUGAAGAAGCUAAAUACGAAAUUAAAAUCACUUUUAUACCGAAUUCUUUUAUGUGACAUGCCUGAUAGCUAUUGAGUCAAUUAUAAAACAUGAAAUUAUUCCCGGUGCCAUCUUAACUCAUAUGAACUCUUCAAAAAGUGAAGUUGUACACAAAAUUGGGUACAACUCUAGUUUAGUAAAAACUCUUCGAAUUUUUCGAAAUUUUUUUCCAGAAGUAGUUAAUUUUACCCUAAUUCCGGGAAACUAUUUUUUCUUGGGGAUGGACCCGGGACCCCCGAAAGUCCGGGUUCAAGACCCCGACUGGACCCGGAUCCACUUACCCGAUAUAGACAAUUUAGCUCUGGGUAUGUCCCAUAUGGGCUAACGGGAACCAAAGUUUUCUAAAUUUGAUACUUUUCUAGUCGGGGUCUUGAACCCGGACUUUCGGGUCAAAAAUCUGAGGUCCCGUGUCCGCCCCCCCCAAGAAAAAAAUAGUUCCCCGGGAUCAGGGUAAAAAUAACUAUUUCUGGAAAAAAAUUCGAAAAAAAAAUCGAAGAUUUUUUACUAAACUAGAGUUAAACCCAAAAUUGUAUCGUUCGUGGCCGAAGCAUACAACUUGGCUACCCUCCAAGUUGUACCAACGCACAGUGGUCGUUGACAUUGGCCAAAAUUCAAAAAAUGAAAAUCAGAUAUUUAUUGUUAAAUGUGUACACAUGAACUCUUAAGGGGUUAAACUUUUUAGAAAACAUAAUAAUCAUGACAUUAUUCUGACGGCCCACUUCGAGAAUUGCAUAAAAAAGAGAAAAUGUAGUUAGUUUCUUUUUUCAAUUGGAUCAGUGCAAAAGUGGAUUAAAAAUAGAACUGUAUUACAAAAUUAAAUACAUUUCAAAAUGACAAAUCUUGGCAUAAUUAUUGAAAAGCAAAGUAUUGACUUAUUUUUAGUGAAGUAUAGUUUAGUGGUUGUGUAUAAUAUAGAAGAUGUGCGGGUUCUAAAUUGCCUUUAAGAUUAAUUUUGACAAUAAAAUUGGAUUUCAGUUAAAGUUUUAAUUGUUUUCCCCCUUAAUCCUUCAAUGAGAUUUUUCACGCUGUUAGUAAUGGUAAUAAAAUUCUAAAAGUGCUAAUUUAACUCUCAGAUUUUGUCAGAUGUGUAUGUUAUGCCAAAAAUACUGAAGUGACUUCGCCGCAAUUUUGUCAGUUUUAUGUUGCAAGUGACAUAGAAUAUAUCUUUGUCAUUAUAUGUUGUUUGUCUUAUUGAUGUAUCCAUUGAAGAAGAAAAGUACUUCAAAGACAAAAAAAAGUCCAUUAAAUCCCAUAACUAUUAAGAAAGAAGUUAAAAUAUUACACAUUGAUCAUAAAUUACAGCUUACUAUGAUGGACGGUGUGUAAUGCCUUGACUCAGACGUCAUCAGUUAAAUGCUAUAUAUGUAAUGCAAGCCCAAAAGAAAUGAAUAAUAUUGAAGCCUGUUUACAAAGAGAGGUUCAAACAAAUAGUUAUGAAUUUGGAUUAACGCCUCUUCAUGCAUAUAUUCGUUUUUUUUUUUUUUUUGAGUACAUUCUUUUCUUCUUUUAUUACAGACUAGAAAUUAAAAUAUGGCAAAUUAGGUCAACUUAGAAGGAAAAAAUCAAUUCCAAAAAGAAAAAAUCCAAUUGAAAUUUCGAGAAGAAAUGGGUUUAAUUGUAUAUAACCCAAAGCAAGCAGGCAGCGGAUCUUUAAAAGACGGGAAUACUGCGAGAGGAUUUUUCAAAAAUGUGAGCUUAUCUGUGAUAACAGGCGUCCAAUAUUGUUACAAGCAAUAUUAAUGUCGAAAAAUUUAAGGCCUUUCCACUGGAAACUGCUAAAUUGUUUACAAAAAAUGUGAAAAUAUGGAAUUGAUUUGCAUUAAAAAUACUUUGACUCGUGACUAUGCCACGAAAUUAAAAAAUUGAACGCUUAGGAUCACAUUUUUGAGAGAAUAUCCAGACAUUUCAUUCACCUUUCGCGAAAUGUGACUCAUUUUAAAAAUGAACAAAAAAUAUCAAAUACAUGAAAACAACUUGUCGGACAGUAAGCGGGCAUAGCCUCAGGACUGUAUUUCGGUAGUUUUACAAAGCUGUUCUACCUCCUUAUUGUACCAUGCGCAAAACUACUUUUGAUAAUAAACUUAGUAGUUUCUAAACUAUUAUGAUUUGACUCCUAAUUCCAAAUCAAAACAUGAACAUAGACAGCAAACAAUUUUUUUUUUUGUAAAAGCAACUGCAUUAUCGCUUUACUGCCUCCAAACAUACAGAAUGCUACUCUUUAUGAAAUGUGUGGAACGAUUUGUCAGAUGAUAAACAUGUGGGCAUUAACAAUUAUAAUAAGCUUAACAAAUAUUCAAACGCAGUGUUUCUGUUAAAACCCCUUCCCAACAUACCAAAAAUACAAUACAGCUUGAGAAUAAUAUUAUGAAAAUAGUUUAACGUAGGAAUUCCUCAACAUUGCUAGAGAAAAACUUUUUUGCACAAACUUUUCUCAAAUCUGUCCUUUGUUGACAAAUUUGUUUUGAUUUUUUUUUUUUGUGAAAAUUGUCGACAAAAAAAAAUAUUUUCUUUGGUUAAAAUCAAAAUCACGCGAAUUUAAGACCCAUUUCUGGACGAAACUCUAAGAAUAGAGGCGUCAAAAAGUUGCAAGAAUUCAAGAGAUGUGAAGAAUUAGUGGAGGAGAUGCGGAAGCUCAAAUAAGGGGAAAGAAAGCAUCUAGGUAUCAAUGCAACAGGAGGCAGCGACAGCUGGGAUGGCGAUCAAUGAAUGAAAUGUGUAAAAUAAUUAAAAAAAUUAAAAAAUAAAUAUUUUAUACCAUUGAAAAAAUAA